UGGGGAAUAUUGGACAAUGGGGGCAACCCUGAUCCAGCAAUGCCGCGUGUGUGAAGAAGGUCUUCGGAUUGUAAAGCACUUUCGACGGGGACGAUGAUGACGGUACCCGUAGAAGAAGCCCCGGCUAACUUCGUGCCAGCAGCCGCGGUAAUACGAAGGGGGCUAGCGUUGCUCGGAAUGACUGGGCGUAAAGGGCGUGUAGGCGGUUUACACAGUCAGAUGUGAAAUCCCCGGGCUUAACCUGGGAGCUGCAUUUGAUACGUGUAGACUAGAGUGUGAGAGAGGGUUGUGGAAUUCCCAGUGUAGAGGUGAAAUUCGUAGAUAUUGGGAAGAACACCGGUGGCGAAGGCGGCAACCUGGCUCAUGACUGACGCUGAGGCGCGAAAAGCGUGGGGAGCAAACAGGAUUAGAUACCCUGGUAGUCCACGCUGUAAAACGAUGUGUGCUAGAUGUUGGGUAACUUUGUUAUUCAGUGUCGCAGUUAACGCGUU
rnacentral:rRNA from 1 species